UAAAAGUUAAUUUGGCUUUAUAAGAUUAUGUUUAUUUAUAUUAGAUGCGUUGGUUUUUAAAUAUAAAGGUUGCAAUAAUUAUUUUUAUUAAUUUAGUGAAUUGAGAAAUAGUUAUUUAUAUUAGUUUAGACUAAUUUUGUGCCAGCAGUAGCGGUUAAACAAUUUAUGCAUUAUUCUUUUUUUUGUUUUAAUUAAUAUAGAGGAUUAGAUUUAAAUAUUAAUUUUUGGGUGAAAUUUAAAUUUUUAGUUGAUUUUUAUUUAUGAUUUAAUAAAGUUUUUAAUAGUAAACUAGGAUUAGAUACCCUAUUAUAAAAUAAUAUUUUUUGGCUGAGUUAGUAUUAGUUAUUUUCUUGAAAACUAAUAUAGUUGGUAGUUAUUUAAGCCUAUUCAGAGGAAUUUGCUCUGUGAUUGAUAUUCCACGAUUUAAUUUACUUAAUAAAUUUUUGUAUAUCGUCGUUAAAAAUAUUUUAUAAGAAAUUAAUUUUUUUGGUUCAAAGAUUUGGGGUAAGUCAGAUCAUGAUAUAGAUUUUUUAAGAAAGAAGUGAGUUACUUUUUAAACAUAGAUUUUUUGAUGUGAGUAUUAAUGAAAAAGGAUUUGAUAGUAAUUAUUUGGAUAUUCGAAUUUUGAUUUAGUUUUAAUUAUGCACAUAUUGCCCGUCGCUUUCAUUUGAUUGAAAUAAGUCGUAACAUAGUAGAAGUACUGGAAAGUGGUUCUAGAAUGAC
rnacentral:ncRNA from 1 species